rnacentral:rRNA from 1 species
AACGUAGGUGGCAAGCGUUAUCCGGAAUUACUGGGCGUAAAGCGUGCGCAGGCGGUGAUGUAAGACAGAUGUGAAAUCCCCGGGCUCAACCUGGGAACUGCAUUUGUGACUGCAUCGCUGGAGUGCGGCAGAGGGGGAUGGAAUUCCGCGUGUAGCAGUGAAAUGCGUAGAUAUGCGGAGGAACACCGAUGGCGAAGGCAAUCCCCUGGGCCUGCACUGACGCUCAUGCACGAAAGCGUGGGGAGCAAACAGG